ACACAAAUCUUCUUAGACGCGGGAUUUGAAAGAAGAUGGGUCGGAUUAAUGGAUCCUUUUUUCUCAUUCUUCUUUCACACUAAUCCACAAACCCUAAAAAACAUAGUUGCAGCCACCGCCAAGAUCCUCCAUCAGUUACACAAAAUCUCACCUACCGACAAUAAUCUUCUUCGAAUUCAUCCUCAUCGCUACAUCUUCUUCUUCAAUCCAUGAUUACAAGAUAUCUCCUUUUUUGAGAUAUUGACUUCAACAACUACAUCUUACAGGGUAUUUAUUCUUAUUGUUACGAAUCUAUUAUGUUAAUGCGCCUAUUGAGGGGAGACUAGAAACUUUAGAAGUGAUGGGUUCAAAAGAAUCUCAGCUCAUAUAGAAGAUAUUACAUCCGGUUAGGAAGCAAGUAAGUUAUCAAAUGUUUUAGUUUCUUUUCUCUUUCUUUCUUUCUUCAUGUACUCGGCCAAAUGGUCACUGGCUUAGCUAAGACAAACAAUGAAAGUAUUAAGAAAAUGAAAGUAUUAAGAAAUUUUGAAUUAUUGACUUUAUAAGUUCUUAAAACUUGGAAGACAAAAUGUAUGUUGUGCCUUUUUGGUAGAUCAGAAAGCACUUCUAUACGAGAAAACAUGCUUUAGCGAUUUAGAAAGAUGAUUAUUUUUAAGCUGAGUAGCUUAUUUUGUUUAAGAAAUUUUGAAUUAUUGACUUUAUAAGUUCUUAAAACUUGGAAGACAAAAUGUAUGUUGUGCCUUUUUGGUAGAUCAGAAAGCACUUCUAUACGAGAAAACAUGCUUUAGCGAUUUAGAAAGAUGAUUAUUUUUAAGCUGAGUAGCUUAUUUUGUUUAAUGGUCUCAUUAUUCUUUUCUUGCAUACUGAUCCUCUCAAAUGUUUAAGUAGGCUUUGAAAAAUGAAUGACGAAAAUGUUACUAUUUUGAAUGAACAUUUCGAUGUGGUAAGCUUAAAAAAGUGUAUGUUUGACUUUAUUUAACAUUAUUAAAAAUAAGUCUUGAUCAUAAAACAAUCAGUUAAAUACUUUCCAUUAAUUUUAAGGUCCAUAUUCAUCUCGCUGUUAUGUUAUCACCAGGUUAUGUUAUUUUGUUUUUAUUCAUUUGUUUAGGUCAAAAGGAUCCGUUUUAAUAGUUUGGAUUCUAAUAGUAUGAUUGUUAUUCUAAUAGUGUGUGGUUGAAAUUCUUGGCGUUAUAAAAACUAAAAAGAAAGACGAGGUUGGAUUCUAAUAGUAUGAUUUUUAUGCUAUUACUCUUUGAUGUGUGUAAAAUGCAACAUAUAAAUUACAUCAAAUAAGGCAUAAAACUAACCCUUUUUAAGUACUAAUGUUGGAAAAAGAGUGUUUUUGUCUUCCUUUUGUAUUUUCAGGAUUAAAUGAGCUCAAAUUAACAAAAGAAGCAAAAAGGCAGCUAAAUCUAACUUAAAUACAAGAAAAGGAACAUAAGUGGAUUGCCCGACCCCUCGACAGCAUCCUCUCAAGCAAAACAGAGAAGGCAGAAGACUGAACACGCCCCGUGCUCAGCCAGCAUGGGGCCGUGCCCAAGAAGCAGCAGAUAAGACAAACCUAUAGAAGCUUCUAUUGCCCACCACGGGGCCGUGCCCAGUGAACACGGGGGUGUGGCGAAAGUACUACAGGCGCAUUAAUUGUAAUUGUGAAUUACAAUUAAUGAGGAGAGAGAUUGUCAGACUGGCACGGGGCCGUGUCCAGCGGACACGGGGCCGUGCCCAGGCUUCUGUUCAGCCUAUAAAUAGGAGUGCUUGGUUUCAUUGCAACUCAUCCCUUGGCACACCACCUCUCUCACACUUCAUCCACCACCCACCACCAUCACAACACCAUCAUCCACCACCCACCACCAUCACAACACCAUCAUCCACCACCAUCAUCCAUUGUCCAUCAUAGAGUGUGUGAGUCGUCUCGGGAUCCAAGAUUGAUCGUAAGAGUUCUUGACAAUCAAGGCCAUGUUUGCCUAAGUCUCUUACAUCACUUGGUGAAGACAAGUGUUUAGUAUAAUACUUUUUAUUUUUAAUCUUUUGCACUUUUUAUUUGGUUUUGUAUUAAUGACUUUAAUAACUAGUUACUUAUGUUGAAGGUGAUUUUUCCUUAUCGUUUGUCCGUGGUGUCUUGGCAUUAUUUUACUGGCUAUAUAAAAUAAAAGAUUUUCACCA